CACCUUCGAAUUUUUCCCUAUAACUCAGAACUUUCUUCGAUCUCCGCAUCUACGAAUUUUUCCCUAGAAUUCUGCUUUCCUUCGCAUUAAAAACCCGCCAUCGAUGAAAAAUCGGUCUCCUUCGCUUCAACAUCGGAAAAUGAAACACUUUCGAAUUUUUCCCUAUAACUCAGAACUUUCUUCGAUCUCCGAAUUUUUCCCUAGAAUUCUGCUUUCAUUCUUCGAAAACCCUCGAUCGAUGAAAAAUCGGUCUCCUCCGCUCCAACAUCGGAAAACGAAACACACCUUCGCAUCGAAAACCCUCGAUCGAUGAAAAAUCGGUCCCCUCCAACAUUCUCCAAAAUAAAAUUAAUAUACGACGAUAUCGAGGCUACGAAUAUUUCGCGAGUGAUCCCAGUCGGCUUCGGCGCCGACCCUUUCGGAACAUCCGUCGCGUGGGAACUCGUAGCAUGGCGACCCGCUUAUAUUCUUGUAAAAGGUUAAACGGCCUGUUUAACGCACACUCGCGGCGCAACCGCCGGAGACCUUUCUAUAUCCGGGAUACCCAGCGUCAAACGUUGUGUCGUUAUUGAACACUCCUCGUGUGUCCGUUCGCUCGAUCGAUUCCCGAGAUAUCGUGCGUUCGCGGAUCGGCGACAGCACAGUUGCCGCCCUUUCGAUCGCUGCCACGGUUUCUUCCUUUUCCAAGAAAACCGUGGCCCAGCCUGUGCUUGUGAUAGUUGUGCUGGUACGUCAACGGUCUUUCCUUCUCGAUUUGACGACCGAGCUCGGUCGUUAGAUCCCAUUCGCCGAUUGUUUCUUACGUAUUGGCGAUAAUAUCGUUCCGCCAUUUUUGCGCAGGAAAUCGGUCUCGAAAAUAAAUAGAAAUGGUCAGUUCUAUGCUCGUAGAGAAGAACAAAUGCGUUACAAAUACGACAUUUGUGUAUAACUUUUAAUAUAAAUUAUUCGUAAGAACGUAAGAUAAUUUUUUCAACUUUGCUUCGAUCGAGUGAGAGUUUUGGAGAAAUUUAAAGUAUCUUGUUUAUAUAUUUAAGCGAAGAAUUUCGAUAUGUUAUACGAAUUGUAUAUAUUAUAGAGAGUAAAAGUCAGAGGUAUUUAUCACGUAUUAUAUUAUCAACGUAAAUACAGAACGUUUAAAUAUGUAAAUAAAUGUGGUAGCUCGUUUCGUUUACUUUUAGUCCAACGCAGAAUGUAUUCUUCCUUUGUCGCAGAAACACGUGAUACGAUGACUCACUGAUAUCCAUUCCUAUUCCUUCAUUCAGUAGAGUGAUUAGCUCAAUUCAGAGAGGAUGGAAAGUAUUUUGCUGUGUCGAGUUAAGCAAUUUUUACUGUGCCGAUCGUCCCGUGAGGUUUUCUUCUUCUAUUUAUCAAGAUCUACUUUUUCGAGAGAUAUUGGAACACCGACUUUCCACCGUACUGGGGCACAGAGAUAUCGAGAUCGACGAUUCUUGUUCGUUUUGCAAGAAAUCUAGUAUAAUAGAGGUACACCGGUGCAAUGUCUUGUUUCGUGAUUCCGGAUGUUCCGCAAGGAUGUUUCACUCAGGAAUCCCGUGAAAUGAAAAUGUAACGAAACGGGACAGGGGCAUUCAGCUUUUCGUGAGAAAACUAAACAUCGAACUUUCCAAUCAGAUAAACUUCGAGUUAAAAACUUCUCUUCUACGUCGUAUUUCAAAACGGGCGCAAUUAUAAAGGAUGAAUUGAAUUCGUCUAAGAAAUGGAAUUUUUCUUUCGAACAUUAGUCGUUUGAAAUUGAUAUUUCAACAAUUAUCCUCCGCUCGAGGAUAAUACGAAAAACAAACUCUUGAUCCCUUUCUUUAAAUAUUCCCUACAUGUUUAGUUUGCUCGCAAGUCUGUUGGUUAAAUCAAAACGACAUUCUCGAUGGAAACAAAACGGAGAAAAUGAUAUAUUUGUCUUCGAUGUUUGUUCCAGAUAUUUGCUCCUUUAUUAAAGAAAACUUCCUCCUAUCCUAAGAUUAACAUCACGAGAAGAGUGAAAUUUUAUUUUUCAAUUAUCAAUUAUCGCGAUAAUUUAAAAACAUGCAACAUCUCGUGUACAAUUCUUCGUGUUCAUCGAAUAUAUCGCCAAUAGAAAAAAGAAUAAAAAAAUAAAACACGAUGGAACAACAAAAAACCGAAUUUCUAUACGAAUAAAUCUAUUCGAGAAGGGGAGGAAAAAAGAAAGAAAAAAAAAAGGAAAAGAAUCAAAACAGAAACGAGUAAAAAAAAAAAAAAAAUGCAGAGGCGUACUCUCCAGUUAUACGCGUCAAAGUAAAAGUAGAAAUCGGAGAGAAUUGGACUUUUACUCUUUCAACAACGCCGACCCACUUGCAACGAUAUUGCCGGCAAAACGAAAACCAACAAAGAAUCGAAUCUGACGAACAACUCCGCGCACCCGAUCGAGAGAUCAACGCUAAAUAUUCUCUUUGCGCGUAUUGUCGGAUGCGACGUGAACGUUUUUUCGAUACCGAAAACAGGGAUGGGGCCCAUUCGGAAAUUCGAUCGAAAAAAAAAAGAAAAAAGAAGAAGAAAAAAGAAAAGGGAAAAAAGGGAGGGGGGAGGGAAGGACCAGAGGCUGCUCGGCCGCAUAUGGUGUUUGAAUGGUUGACGCGGAACAUUUUAUAGUUACAGGAAAAUCGAACCGAGUGCACUGAAUUCGACGUAUUCACUGACCUUUCUAUCAAAUUUCAUUCAUUGCAGCCCGACACUCCGCGCGUCGAUAGAAAUAAUUGCUUGAAAAACGUUCAGAAACGUUUGUGAAAUUCGAGUAAAAGUGUUAUGUAUACGUAUAUAUAUUUUUUAAUACAUAAAAAAAAUUUGCCGACGAAACUUUAAAUAAAAUUACGAUCGGUUGUUCUAUUUAAACGGUGUCGAAUAAUUUUUUCUUUUCGAAAAUCUUAUUAAAAAUCGGAUCGGCAAAUCUUUUUUAUAUAGUCCCCAAUUUCGAAUAAAAUAUUUUCCUUGAAAUUAUCAUCAACCUCAAUCCUCAGAAAUGCUGAGGAACUUGGAAACAUAAAGAUAACUAAAAAUUUCGUUAAUACGAUUUCUUGAAAUAAAUUUUCGUUCGUGCAAAAA
rnacentral:lncRNA from 1 species